rnacentral:lncRNA from 1 species
UUUACCUGCCCCAAGAAAAACAGUUGCAACCCCUGCAGAUUGAUUUUGCUAAUUCAUUCUCUCGUGAAAAGAGGACAAUCACGUCCUUAAAGGAUUUAUAUGGUUGCUGGUAACACCCAGUCCAGCCUACUGCUGGGCUAUAGGGAUGAUUCUCACCUUUUUCCCUGGAAACAUUUUCUCAGGGAAGGCAAAUUAGCAGAAUGCUUUAAUGAAGUGGGUGCGAUGGGAGGUUCUUUCCAGGGGAAUUUAUAACUGAUAUUAGAUCAGAUGUGACAGUACAUUAUUACAAUUUAAAGGUGACAACCCCUGCCCUCCAAAAAAAGAUGGUAUUCCCAGAGUGUGUUUUCUCCCACUGGUUUUCCUCUGAGUCAGAACAGCAUCAAGUGAGUGCUAUGCUGCCUGCUUUUCUUCCCUUGUGGAGAAGAGUCAGAUGAUCUGCAUAUGACUUUUCUCUCCUUACAGGACUGAAAUCUGUUUUCCACACCUAAAUUUUGGAGGGCUGGUGUUGGACUCUCCUCAUAGGGAAAGUCUAUCACAAAAUGUCCAUCCUCUUCACAAGAGUGACCAGAAAAUGGACAGGCAUUUCUGCUCCAUAGAGUCCCAGGCAGUGUGAUGCUAGUUUGUGAGACAUCACUGGAAUCUUACCUGGACAGACCAGGUGAGGCUGCAGAGGGCGCACUCCAGGGGUAACUUGCUGCAUCAUCUGGAAGGGUCUUUUCUCCUUCCUGUGGGAGGAAGUGCACAUCAGAGGAUAAGCUGAAAGCUAUGAGACAUACUGCAAAUUAACUUCUAGAACAACGGUCUCUGAUUUUAAUCCCACUCGCACCAUAUGAAUCAACACACUUUUCCAUGUCCUUGUCUCGCUGGAUAUUGCCAUUGUUUUGGGUAUUGCCUAUUAGAUAAGUAAAAACUAUUAGUGUGUCUACAUACAUAUAUAUAUGUUUAUAUUUCUUUACCAUUCUCUUUCUUUAUUUUCUUUAAUUUUUUUGGGCCACACCUACAGCAAGUUCCCAGGCUAGGGGUUGAAUCAGAGGUGCAGCUGCCAGCCUACAUCACAGCCACAGCAACACCAGAUCCUUAACCCACUGAGCAAGGCCAAGGAUCGAACCCACAUCCUCAUGGAUACUAGUCGGGUUUGUAACCUGCUGAGCCACAAUGGGAACUCCUUUCUUUCAUUUUUCUAUUAGAGCAUUUUAAAAUUCAUUUAUAUGAACUCUUUGAAUAUUGAGAAAUUAAUAUUUACCUGUCAAAUUUUAUGCAGGUAAUUUUUCCCAGUUCAUCAUUUGUUUUUCAGUCUUAUUUGUGGUAUAUUAACACCAGGAAGAAUUCAGUUUUUUAAAAAUAAUAAUUUAAUCAAAUCCACCAACAUUUCCUUUUAUGAUUCCUUGAUUUAAAUCAUUUUUAGAAGUGUAAACUAGGGGCAAGUAAGGCAAUCCCUAAAUUUAUGGCAUUCACUGCUGAAAAACUUUAUUUCAGAGAUGUUUGGGUUACUAGAGAGGGACCCUUCCAGGGCCCUGGUGUGGGCUCUUGUCUCACACUCAGAAAGGAACUGUCUGAGGAGAUACACAAGCUGACAAGACAAAAGGCUUUAUUGAAAGGAGCACUCAAGGAGUUCCCAUUGUGGUGCAGCAGAAAUGAAUCCUACUAGGAACCAUUGGGGUUUCAGGUUCGAUCCCUGGCCUCACUCAGUGGGUUAAGGAUCUGGCAUUGCCAAGAACUGUGAUGCAGGUCACAGAUGCAGCUUGGAUCCAGCAUUGCUGUGGCUGUGGGGUAGGCCAGCAGCUACAGCUCCGAUUUGACCCCUAGCCUGGGAACAUCCAUAUGCCUUGGGUGUGGCCCUAAAAAAAAAAAAAAAAAAAAAAAAA